rnacentral:tRNA from 1 species
GUGGGUAUAUCUCAGUGGUAGAGCACAUGCUUAGCAUGCAUGAGGUCUAGGUUCAAUCCCCAGUAACUCCA